UACAGAGGUCCCAAGCGUUACUGAGAAUCACUGGGUUUAAAGGGUGCGUAGGUGGUCCGUUAAGUCAGUUGUGAAAUCCCCGGGCUCAACUCGGGAACUGCUUCUGAUACUGGCGGACUUGAGGCCAGUAGGGGUCACUAGAACUGACGGUGGAGCGGUGAAAUGCGUAGAUAUCGUCAGGAAUGCCGGUGGUGAAGACGGGUGACUGGGCUGGUUCUGACGCUGAGACACGAAAGCCAGGGGAGCAAACGGG
rnacentral:rRNA from 1 species